AGUCAACAUGUUUCGCAACGCAUAUUAGAGAAGUAACGAAGGACCUCAAUAUCGAAAUACGCGUGGAAAUUAAGAAAUAGCUUAUUUUGAAUAAUGGAAUGGACUGCUGUAACCCUUCAGUCCCUAAUUAAGACAAAAUGUAUACACCAAAUUAAAGCUUAUUGAUAGAGGAAUAAACUAAGUAUAAACGAUAUGUGUCGCAAUGACCAUUAGAGGGGUUACGGAGGACCUAAAUGCAAAAU
rnacentral:lncRNA from 1 species